GACGAACGCUGGCGGCGUGCCUAAUACAUGCAAGUAGAACGCUGAAGAGAGGAGCUUGCUCUUCCUGGAUGAGUUGCGAACGGGUGAGUAACGCGUAGGUAACCUGCCUUGUAGCGGGGGAUAACUAUUGGAAACGAUAGCUAAUACCGCAUAACAAUGGAUGACACAUGUCAUUUAUUUGAAAGGGGCAAUUGCUCCACUACAAGAUGGACCUGCGUUGUAUUAGCUAGUAGGUGAGGUAAUGGCUCACCUAGGCGACGAUACAUAGCCGACCUGAGAGGGGGAGCGGCCACACUGGGACGGAGCCAGGGCCCAGACCCCUGGGGGGGGCGGCAGGGGGGAUUCGGGGGGAAGGGGGGCAACCAGGCCGGAGCAGCGCCGGGUGGGGGAAGAAGGGUUGCGGAUCGAGAAGCUCUGUUGUAGGUAAAGAGGGGGGGGGGGGGGGGAAAGUCCAAGCUGGGAGGGGGGCUAACAAAAAAGGGCCGGCUAACUCCGGC
rnacentral:rRNA from 1 species